rnacentral:rRNA from 1 species
CGCUGGCGGCGCGUUUAAGCAUGCAAGUCGAGCGGCAAGGGCCUUCGGGCCCCUAGAGCGGCGGACGGGUGAGUAACACGUGGACAAUCUGCCCCCCGGCCCGGGAUAGCCCAGGGAAACCUGGAUUAAUACCGGAUGAGACGGGACCCGCGAUGGCGGGAUCCGGGAAAGGCGCUGCGGCGCCGCCGGGGGAUGAGUCUGCGUCCCAUUAGCUAGACGGCGGGGUAACGGCCCACCGUGGCGACGAUGGGUAGCCGGCCUGAGAGGGUGGACGGCCACAUUGGAACUGAGACACGGUCCAGACUCCUACGGGAGGCAGCAGCUAAGAAUCUUCCGCAAUGGGCGAAAGCCUGACGGAGCCGACGCCGCGUGAACGAAGAAGGCCGUGAGGUUGUAAAGUUCUUUUCGGGAGGGGGAACAACCGUGGCAGGGAAUGGCCGCGGGAUGACGUGAAUCCCGGAAUAAGCCCCGGCUAACUACGUGCCAGCCGCGGC